GCCCAGCUGGCUCAGUAGGUGGAGCAUGGGACUCUAGAUCUCAGGGUCAUGAGUUCAAGCCCCAUGUUGAAUG
rnacentral:tRNA from 1 species